ACUGACCUUUAUAUCAUCUGAGUUAACAUAAAUGUGGUUGACACGGAGAUAAAGUUUGUAGCAGAGAUGGCCCUGACACGCCAGUCUGUUUUCGAUGCAAAUGCUGCUUGCUCGUACGGACUGGUUGUCGUGAUAAUGAGUUCAUCGCCAUGCACAUUAGUUGUCCUUGUUGUAACUGCAUUUGACUGA
rnacentral:rRNA from 1 species